rnacentral:rRNA from 1 species
AUUGAACGCUGGCGGCAGGCCUAACACGUGCAAGUCGAGCGGAUGAAGGGAGCUUGCUCCUGGAUUCAGCGGCGGACGGGUGAGUAAUGCCUAGGAAUCUGCCUGGUAGUGGGGGAUAACGUCCGGAAACGGGCGCUAAUACCGCAUACGUCCUGAGGGAGCAAGUGGGGGAUCUUCGGACCUCACGCUAUCAGAUGAGCCUAGGUCGGAUUAGCUAGUUGGUGGGGUAAAGGCCUACCAAGGCGACGAUCCGUAACUGGUCUGAGAGGAUGAUCAGUCACACUGGAACUGAGACACGGUCCAGACUCCUACUGGAGGCAGCAGUGGGGAAUAUUGGACAAUGGGCGAAAGCCUGAUCCAGCCAUGCCGCGUGUGUGAAGAAGGUCUUCGGAUUGUAAAGCACUUUAAGUUGGGAGGAAGGGCAGUAAGUUAAUACCUUGCUGUUUUGACGUUACCAACAGAAUAAGCACCGGCUAACUUCGUG